CCUACGGGGGGCUGCAGUAAGGAAUAUUGGUCAAUGCCCGGAAGGGUGAACCAGCCAUCCCGCGUGAAGGAUGAAGGGGCUCUGCCUUGUAAACUUCUUUUGUAUGGGGCGAAAAAAGGGGAUUUAUCCUCGACUGACGGUACCAUAAGAAUAAGCACCGGCUAACUCCGUGCCAGCAGCCGCGGUAAUACGGAGGGUGCGAACGUUAUCCGGAAUCACUGGGUUUAAAGGGUGCGUAGGCUGUUUAAUAAGUCAGUGGUGAAAGGCCGUCGCUUAACGAUGGGACUGCCAUUGAUACUGUUAGACUUGAAUCAGGUUGAGGUUGGCGGAAUGUGGCAUGUAGCGGUGAAAUGCAUAGAUAUGCCAUGGAAUACCGAUUGCGAAGGCAGCUGACUGGACCUUGAUUGACGCUGAGGCACGAAAGCGUGGGUAGCGAACAGGCUUAGAUACCCGUGUAGUC
rnacentral:rRNA from 1 species